rnacentral:rRNA from 1 species
UACGUAGGGUGCAAGCGUUAAUCGGAAUUACUGGGCGUAAAGCGUGCGCAGGCGGUUAUGUAAGACAGAUGUGAAAUGCCCGGGCUUAACCUGGGAACUGCAUUUGUGACUGCAUGGCUAGAGUUUGGCAGAGGGGGGUAGAAUUCCACGUGUAGCAGUGAAAUGCGUAGAUAUGUGGAGGAACACCGAUGGCGAAGGCAGCCCCCUGGGUCAAGACUGACGCUCAUGCACGAAAGCGUGGGGAGCAAACAGA